GAUGAAGAACGUAGCAAAAUGCGAUAAGUAAUGUGAAUUGCAGAAUUCAGUGAAUCAUCGAAUCUUUGAACGCACAUUGCGCCCGCCAGUAUUCUGGCGGGCAUGCCUGUUCGAGCGUCAUUUCAACCCUCAAGCUCAGCUUGGUGUUGGGACUCGCGGUAACCCGCGUUCCCCAAAUCGAUUGGCGGUCACGUCGAGCUUCCUUAGCGUAGUAAUCAUACACCUCGUUACUGGUAAUCGUCGCGGCCACGCCGUAAAACCCCAACUUCUGAAUGUUGACCUCGGAUCAGGUAGGAAUACCCGCUGAACUUAAGCAUAUCAAUAAGCGGAGGA
rnacentral:misc_RNA from 1 species